GACGAACGCUGGCGGCGUGCUUAACACAUGCAAGUCGAACGGAAAGGCCCUGCGUUUGUGGGGUGCUCGAGAGGCGAACGGGUGAGUAACACGCGUGUAACCUGCCCUUGACUUUGGGAUAACACCAGGAAACUGCGGCUAAAACCGGAUAGGAUCUUCUGCUGCAUGGGGGGGGAUGGAAAGAGUCGGCGGUUGGGGCUGGACUCGCGGGUUAUGAGCUUGUUUGGCGGGUAGGGGCGUACGAAGCCUUCGACGGGUAGCCCGCCUGAGAGGGUGACCGGGCACAUUGGGACUGAGAUACGGCCCAGACUCCUACGGGAGGCAGCAGUCGGGAGUAUUGCGCAAUGGGCGCAAGUCUGAGGCAGCGGCGCCGCGUGCGGGAUGACGGCUUUCGGGUUGUAAACCGCUUUCGCAUGUGACGAAGCGUUAGUGACGGUAAUGGGUCAAGAAGCACCGGCUAACUACGUG
rnacentral:rRNA from 1 species